UGGGGAAUUUUCCGCAAUGGGCGAAAGCCUGACGGAGCAAUGCCGCGUGGAGGUGGAAGGCCUACGGGUCGUCAACCUUCUUUUCUCGGAGAAGAAACAAUGACGGUAUCUGAGGAAUAAGCAUCGGCUAACUCUGUGCCA
rnacentral:rRNA from 1 species